rnacentral:rRNA from 1 species
UACGUAGGGUCCGAGCGUUGUCCGGAAUUACUGGGCGUAAAGAGCUCGUAGGUGGUUUGUCGCGUUAUUCGUGAAAACUCACAGCUUAACUGUGGGCGUGCGGGCGAUACGGGCAGACUGGAGUACUGCAGGGGAGACUGGAAUUCCUGGUGUAGCGGUGGAAUGCGCAGAUAUCAGGAGGAACACCGGUGGCGAAGGCGGGUCUCUGGGCAGUAACUGACGCUGAGGAGCGAAAGCGUGGGGAGCGAACAGG